rnacentral:lncRNA from 1 species
CUGUUGUGAUAUGCUCAACAUUAAUAACACCUCUUUUAUAUAGUUAUAGAGAAGAUCUUACCUAGUGUGGUUUCUGGAAUCAUCUAACACUCCGCUGAGGCCGACGCAGUAGAAGCUACACAUGCAGAGAGGAGGCUCUUGAGCACACUUAACCUUCACCCUAACUGCUACAGUAAUGAGGACAAUCAGUCAGUGUGCUCAAUUCCCGAGAUCCCGGCAGAGAGUCAUAGCUUUUUAUCACCCAAUCAUGAGACGUUUACUUACUGUAAAACAGUGGAGGAUGCUGUUAGCGUCAAGCCCAAGAAUCUGACUGAAGCUGAAGAGUGGAUCAUUUCACCCUGUGAGCCAAAAAACGGAGUUUCUUCGUCUGCUGGAUUCUGAGGCGUCAGGAACAUCCAGCUUUCUGCAGCUGAAGCCUUUAAGGCUUCCUCUACAGGAAAACGGACAUCCCCUGUCCCACGACAUUCCCAACCGCAUGGCCUUGGAAGCUUCUUAGAUCCUCCAUCCAAUCCAAGAGUGGAAAAACGAGAGGUCAAACAGGUGUGACAUGCAUAUUUACCUAUGAUUUGUUUAAAUGAAUAUAUAGAGUACAGCCUAGACUUCUGACCACACGGCAGCAGUAUUGCAUCAGGAAAGUGAGCUGACUUGUGCAUUGCAGGUGUGUAUUGCAUAAUCAUUUCAGCACCAUCAAUUGAUUUCUAAAA